CUGAACGCUGGCGGCGUGGCUAAGACAUGCAAGUCGCACGGGACCCGCAAGGGUUUUCAGUGGCGAACGGGUGAGUAAUGUAUCGCUAAUGUGCCCUGACUCUGGGAUAGCUGACCGAAAGGUCAGGUAAUACCAGAUGACAUACCUUUGUCGCAUGGCAGAGGUCUCAAAGGUCCGCCGGUCUGGGAGCAGGCGAUAUCGUAUCAGGUAGUUGGUGAGGUAACGGCUCACCAAGCCGACGACGCGUAGCUGGUCUGAGGGACGGCAGCCACAUCGGGACUGAGACACUGCCCGGACUCCUACGGGGGGCUGCAGUAACGAAUCUUCCACAAUGCACGAAAGUGUGAUGGAGCGACGCCGCGUGUGGGACGAAGUCUUCGGGAUGUAAACCACUGUCAGGGGUAAGAAAGUUCUGAUCUACCCCAGAGGAAGAGACGGCUAACUCUGUGCCAGCAGCCGCGGUAAUACAGAGGUCUCGAGCGUUAGGCGGAAUCACUGGGCUUAAGCGCGUGUAGGCGGAUCGUUAAGUACCUUGUGAAAUCCCACGGCUUAACCGUGGAACUGCUGGCGUAUACUGGCGAUCUUGAGCCACUUAGGGGCCUGCGGAACAAGCGGUGGAGCGGGAUGAGAUGCGUAGAUAUCGCUUGGAACGCCAAUGGUGAUAAACAGCAGGCUGGGAGUGUGCUGACGCUGAGACGCGAAAGCCAGGGGAGCAAACGGGAUUAGAUACCCCGGUAGUCCUGGCCGUAAACGAUGUCGACUAGAUCGAAGUGCCUCUGACGGUAUUUCGGUCGAAGCAAAGCUGCUAGUCGACCGCCUGGGAAGUACGGUCGCAAGGCUAAAACUCAAGAAAUGACGGGGGCUCACACAAGCGGUGGAGCAUGUGGUUCAAUUCGAAGCAACGCGCAGAACCUUACUGGGCUUGACAUGCUAGGAUUAUCUCGAUGAAAGUCGAGUAGGCCCCGCAAGGGGUACAACUAGUACAGGUGCUGCAUGGCUGUCGUCAGCUCGUGUCUGAGAUGUCGGGUUAAGUCCCUUAAGCGAACGAAACCUUUGCCCUUAAGUUACCAGCGGGUUAUGCCGGGGACUCUAGGGGACUGCCGGUGUCAAACCGGAUGAAGGUGGAGAUGACGUCAAGUCCUCAUGGCCUUAUGCCCAGGGCCACACACGUGCUACACUGGGAUGCACAAAGCGAACCAAGACCGCAAGGGGUGGAACAUCGCAGAAUCAUCCACAGUUCAGAUCGGAGGCUGCAACUCGCCUCCGUGAAGUUGGAAUCGCUAGUAAUCGCGAAUCAGCUACGCGCGGUGAAUGUGUUCCCGGGUCUGUACACUAGCCGCCGUCAACCAGGGGAGUGGGUUACCAGAAGUAGGUAGGCUAACCGCAAGGGGGCCGCUUACCCACGGCUAGGAUUCAUGACGG
rnacentral:rRNA from 1 species